GGUCCAGCCUGCCCAGUGACUCAAUUCAACGGCCGCGGUAUCCUAACCGUGCAAAGGUAGCGUAAUCACUUGUCUUCUAAAUAAAGACUAGUAUGAAAGGCACCACGAGAACUAAACUGUCUCCUUUUUCUAAUCAGUGAACCUAAUCUCCCUGUGAAAAAGCAGGGAUUUAAUAAUAAGACGAGAAGACCCUAUGGAGCUUUAAACACAUAACACUGCCCUUUUACACCACAAUGUUCCAUGCACAAUGAUUAAGAGUUUUUAGUUGGGGUGACUACGGAGUAAACCCACCCUCCGCGAUGAAUCUUAAACAAGCGACAGCUUUAUACAUCAACAAACUGACACCAUUGACCCAAUUUAUUGAUCAACGAAC
rnacentral:rRNA from 1 species